CCCGGUGGCCUGAGCGGAGGAGUCACACCCGUUCUCAUCCCGAACACGGUAGUUAAGCCCUCCAGCGCCGAUGGUACUGCACUGGCAACGGUGUGGAAGAGUAGGUCGUUGCCGGGA
rnacentral:rRNA from 1 species